GGGAGGUUGGGAGUGUGUGCAAGGGAAACCAAGGAGGUGGGAAUGAAUACGUCUUGUAGAGAAAGAGGGGGAGGCUGGGAAGUGGAGAAGCUGGGGCGGCAGCUGCGGUGGUGUGAAUGAGAGCAAGGCCUCUGAUUUCUCUUGCAGCCUUAGCCCUUGCUACCUGUAGAAGACAUCUGGUGUUUUUGUCUGCUUAACAUUUAUAUCCUUCCUUCUGGAAACCUCAUCCUGAUUUGGCUUUGAGAGACUACCCUGCCUCCACUCUCAGCCCAUGUAGUCCGGACAGGGCUGACCCCACCCCUCAGAUUCAGGGGCAGAACCAAGCCUCAGGCUGGACUACAGCCCUGAGUGCAGGGUCUGGCUCAGGGAUGGCUUGGCAUAGAAGCUGGGUCAACCAGUGUCAGCCCUGAGACUGGUUGGAAUGACUGGGACAUCAAUAUUUUUUCCCUGCUGAGACUGAGGCAGGGAGCAGGGAAGCCCUAAGAUGUGGCGAGGCUCUGUCUCAGAAAAAAGUCAGUGCCAAAGAAAGUAGAACAAGAAAAACGGAACAAGAAAGAAGAAAUUGAAAAGACAAAGUUUGAGCACCUGGAUCCAGCUGCACCUGAAGCUCAUCUCUUGGACUCUUUGGAAAACACAAGCAAAAAUUCCCUUUGAGAUGAAUUUCUGUAAUGUUCACCCCUCCCCCCAAACCUGAUUAUUUUUAGUCCUACACUUGUACCAUAUGAGCCUAGUUGCAGGUUCUCAGAACAGAUUGAACACCACCCCCUCCAGAUUGUUACUCAGGCUGUAACCUCUCCCAGGAAUGCCAUCCCAGUCUCACAGUCUUCUGUUAAGACGCUACUCUACCCUUCACUCAAAUGUCACCUACUUCAAGGCGCAUCCAAAGAUGCUGUUGUCAAGAUGUUUCCCCUUUCACGCUCCCAGAGCCGACUGGGUGGACCUUUGUUAUACGGCCCAGGGCAGUGGAGCUGAGGCUGCACCAUGUUUGUAUUUAACCUUCUUUUCAUUGAGCCCAGCACUGGGCCAGGAGCUUAACAAGCAUGUUCUCUGUUCAUCUGCACACCUGCUCCUUGAGGGAGUAUCUUUACAAUCUCUCACCCGCUGGUGCACCGUGGACCCAGGGAGGCUGAGAGGCAUGCUUCGUGUCCAAGGCGCACCACCCCCUGCCAUGAAGGUUGGAUUAUUGUCGCCAGCUCUCCACUGCCUCCCUGUCGUAGAAUUACAGGUCUGAACCCUUUGCCAUGUUGGGCCUGGCCGUGGGCCUUGCUUGGGCCAAUGGAAUGCAGCGAACAUCCUGUGAGGUUUCAAAUGUGUUUACAUAAUUUGGUUUGGCCUCGAGUGCACCUGCCAUCUGCUCUGAGAAGAGCAUACCGCAAGUGGCAGCAGCAAUGAGGAAAAAGGAAAGCAUGGCUCUGACCUGAGCCCAGCCCCGCCCCAGAGCCACACCCGACUGAACGGAGCAGAGAUCAGCUAAGCCCCGGCCAACUCGAGACCCAGAAGUGAGAAAAAUAAAUAUCUGUUCCCGUGGGCCUUUGCAAUUUUGCUGUUUGUUCUUCAGUAUUAUCGCAGCAAGAGGGACUAAUGCACCAGAUAUAAAUGCACACACGUGUGCUCAAACAACACGAAUCCAAGUUCAUCCACAAACAUAUGCCAGAUGCAAAUCACAGGUACACAAACUGCA
ensembl:lncRNA